GGUUGUGGCUCAGUGGUAGAGUACUUGCCUAGCACAUGUGAGGCCCUGGGUUCAAUCCUCAGCACCA
rnacentral:tRNA from 1 species